UACGUAGGGUGCUAGCGUUGUCCGGAAUCAUUGGGCGUAAAGAGCGUGUAGGCGGCCCGGUAAGUCCGCUGUGAAAGUCGGGGGCUCAACCCUCGAAUGCCGGUGGAUACUGUCGGGCUAGAGUGCGGAAGAGGAGAGUGGAAUUCCUGGUGUAGCGGUGAAAUGCGCAGAUAUCAGGAAGAACACCUAUGGCGAAGGCAGCUCUCUGGGACGGUACUGACGCUGAGACGCGAAAGCGUGGGGAGCGAACAGG
rnacentral:rRNA from 1 species